rnacentral:rRNA from 1 species
GAUUAAGUUAUUAAGGGCGCACGGUGGAUGCCUUGGCACUAGAAGCCGACGAAGGACGUUACUAACGACGAUAUGCUUUGGGUAGCUGUAAGUAAGCGUUGAUCCAGAGAUUUCCGAAUGGGGGAACCCAGCACGAGUUAUGUCGUGUUAUCGACAAGUGAAUUCAUAGCUUGUCAGAAGGCAGACCCGGAGAACUGAAACAUCUUAGUACCCGGAGGAAGAGAAAGAAAAAUCGAUUCCCUGAGUAGCGGCGAGCGAAACGGGAAGAGCCCAAACCAAUAAGCUUGCUUAUUGGGGUUGUAGGACACUCUAUACGGAGUUACAAAGGAAUAUAUUAGACGAAUCAUCUGGAAAGUUGAAUCAAAGAAGGUAAUAAUCCUGUAGUUGAAAAUAUAUUCUCUCUUGAGUGGAUCCUGAGUACGACGGAGCACGUGAAAUUCCGUCGGAAUCUGGGAGGACCAUCUCCUAAGGCUAAAUACUCUCUAGUGACCGAUAGUGAACCAGUACCGUGAGGGAAAGGUGAAAAGUACCCCGGAAGGGGAGUGAAAGAGAACUUGAAACCGUGUGCUUACAAGUAGUCAGAGCCCGUUAAUGGGUGAUGGCGUGCCUUUUGUAGAAUGAACCGGCGAGUUACGAUCUGAUGCAAGGUUAAGCAGGAAAUGUGGAGCCGUAGCGAAAGCGAGUCUGAAUAGGGCGUUGAGUAUUUGGUCGUAGACCCGAAACCAGGUGAUCUACCCAUGGUCAGGUUGAAGUUCAGGUAACACUGAAUGGAGGACCGAACCGACUUACGUUGAAAAGUGAGCGGAUGAACUGUGGGUAGCGGAGAAAUUCCAAUCGAACUUGGAGAUAGCUGGUUCUCUCCGAAAUAGCUUUAGGGCUAGCCUCAAGUGAUGAUUAUUGGAGGUAGAGCACUGUUUGGACGAGGGGCCCCUCUCGGGUUACCGAAUUCAGACAAACUCCGAAUGCCAAUUAAUUUAACUUGGGAGUCAGAACAUGGGUGAUAAGGUCCGUGUUCGAAAGGGAAACAGCCCAGACCACCAGCUAAGGUCCCAAAAUAUAUGUUAAGUGGAAAAGGAUGUGGCGUUGCCCAGACAACUAGGAUGUUGGCUUAGAAGCAGCCAUCAUUUAAAGAGUGCGUAAUAGCUCACUAGUCGAGUGACACUGCGCCGAAAAUGUACCGGGGCUAAACAUAUUACCGAAGCUGUGGAUUGUCCGUAGGACAAUGGUAGGAGAGCGUUCUAAGGGCGUUGAAGCAUGAUCGCAAGGACAUGUGGAGCGCUUAGAAGUGAGAAUGCCGGUGUGAGUAGCGAAAGACGGGUGAGAAUCCCGUCCACCGAUUGACUAAGGUUUCCAGAGGAAGGCUCGUCCGCUCUGGGUUAGUCGGGUCCUAAGCUGAGGCCGACAGGCGUAGGCGAUGGAUAACAGGUUGAUAUUCCUGUACCACCUAGCAUCGUUUUAAUCGAUGGGGGGACGCAGUAGGAUAGGCGAAGCGUACGAUUGGAUUGUACGUCCAAGCAGUGAGAUUGAGUGUUAGGCAAAUCCGGCACUCUUAAGAUUGAGCUGUGAUGGGGAGAGGAAAUUGUUUCCUCGAGUCGUUGAUUUCACACUGCCGAGAAAAGCCUCUAGAUAGAUAAUAGGUGCCCGUACCGCAAACCGACACAGGUAGUCAAGAUGAGAAUUCUAAGGUGAGCGAGCGAACUCUCGUUAAGGAACUCGGCAAAAUGACCCCGUAACUUCGGGAGAAGGGGUGCUCUUUAGGGUGCAAGCCCAGAAGAGCCGCAGUGAAUAGGCCCAAGCGACUGUUUAUCAAAAACACAGGUCUCUGCUAAACCGUAAGGUGAUGUAUAGGGGCUGACGCCUGCCCGGUGCUGGAAGGUUAAGAGGAGUGGUUAGCUUCUGCGAAGCUACGAAUCGAAGCCCCAGUAAACGGCGGCCGUAACUAUAACGGUCCUAAGGUAGCGAAAUUCCUUGUCGGGUAAGUUCCGACCCGCACGAAAGGCGUAACGAUUUGGGCACUGUCUCAACGAGAGACUCGGUGAAAUCAUAGUACCUGUGAAGAUGCAGGUUACCCGCGACAGGACGGAAAGACCCCGUGGAGCUUUACUGUAGCCUGAUAUUGAAAUUCGGCACAGCUUGUACAGGAUAGGUAGGAGCCUUUGAAACGUGAGCGCUAGCUUACGUGGAGGCGCUGGUGGGAUACUACCCUAGCUGUGUUGGCUUUCUAACCCGCACCACUUAUCGUGGUGGGAGACAGUGUCAGGCGGGCAGUUUGACUGGGGCGGUCGCCUCCUAAAAGGUAACGGAGGCGCUCAAAGGUUCCCUCAGAAUGGUUGGAAAUCAUUCAUAGAGUGUAAAGGCAUAAGGGAGCUUGACUGCGAGACCUACAAGUCGAGCAGGGUCGAAAGACGGACUUAGUGAUCCGGUGGUUCCGCAUGGAAGGGCCAUCGCUCAACGGAUAAAAGCUACCCCGGGGAUAACAGGCUUAUCUCCCCCAAGAGUUCACAUCGACGGGGAGGUUUGGCACCUCGAUGUCGGCUCAUCGCAUCCUGGGGCUGUAGUCGGUCCCAAGGGUUGGGCUGUUCGCCCAUUAAAGCGGUACGCGAGCUGGGUUCAGAACGUCGUGAGACAGUUCGGUCCCUAUCCGUCGUGGGCGUAGGAAAUUUGAGAGGAGCUGUCCUUAGUACGAGAGGACCGGGAUGGACAUACCUCUGGUGUACCAGUUGUCGUGCCAACGGCAUAGCUGGGUAGCUAUGUAUGGACGGGAUAAGUGCUGAAAGCAUCUAAGCAUGAAGCCCCCCUCAAGAUGAGAUUUCCCAACUUCGGUUAUAAGAUCCCUCAAAGAUGAUGAGGUUAAUAGGUUCGAGGUGGAAGCGUGGUGACACGUGGAGCUGACGAAUACUAAUCGAUCGAAGACUUAAUCAA